rnacentral:rRNA from 1 species
GACGAACGCUGGCGGCGUGCCUAAUACAUGCAAGUUGAGCGCUGAAGGUUGGUACUUGUACCGACUGGAUGAGCAGCGAACGGGUGAGUAACGCGUGGGGAAUCUGCCUUUGAGCGGGGGACAACAUUUGGAAACGAAUGCUAAUACCGCAUAAAAACUUUAAACACAAGUUUUAAGUUUGAAAGAUGCAAUUGCAUCACUCAAAGAUGAUCCCGCGUUGUAUUAGCUAGUUGGUGAGGUAAAGGCUCACCAAGGCGAUGAUACAUAGCCGACCUGAGAGGGUGAUCGGCCACAUUGGGACUGAGACACGGCCCAAACUCCUACGGGAGGCAGCAGUAGGGAAUCGUCGGCAAUGGACGAAAGUCUGACCGAGCAACGCCGCGUGAGUGAAGAAGGUUUUCGGAUCGUAAAACUCUGUUGGUAGAGAAGAACGUUGGUGAGAGUGGAAAGCUCAUCAAGUGACGGUAACUACCCAGAAAGGGACGGCUAACUACGUG